UUUUAAUAUUAUUGCAGAUAAAGGACAAAGAGUUGACAUAAGAGAGACUUAGAGAGGAGCAGAAAUCUGUAAAGAUGAUCGAAGAAGAGAAGGCAACGAAGCAAAUGAGGAGCACAAUGAUGCCUCACGCGAAACCCCUUCCAAAAUUUAGCAAUCCAUUCAUCCCUCAAAAAUCUAUGAAGGAAAACACAAAACCAAAGUCGCCGGACUUGCAUGUGAAGCACAGAGUCGAGAGUCGAAGGGCGUUGCAGCAGAUGAGAUGAUUUGGCUUCUGCCUGUCACUGGACUUGCUUGUGAAGCAGAGAGUAAGUGCCGACAGGUAUUGCAGCUGAUGAGAUGAUUCAACUUCU